rnacentral:rRNA from 1 species
CCUACGGGUGGCAGCAGUGAGGAAUAUUGGUCAAUGGACGAGAGUCUGAACCAGCCAAGUAGCGUGAAGGAUGACUGCCCUAUGGGUUGUAAACUUCUUUUAUAUGGGAAUAAAAUGUUCCACGUGUGGGAUUUUGUAUGUACCAUAUGAAUAAGGAUCGGCUAACUCCGUGCCAGCAGCCGCGGUAAUACGGAGGAUCCGAGCGUUAUCCGGAUUUAUUGGGUUUAAAGGGAGCGUAGGUGGAUUGUUAAGUCAGUUGUGAAAGUUUGCGGCUCAACCGUGAAAUUGCAGUUGAAACUGGCAGUCUUGAGUACAGUAGAGGUGGGCGGAAUUCGUGGUGUAGCGGUGAAAUGCUUAGAUAUCACGAAGAACUCCGAUUGCGAAGGCAGUUCACUGGACUGCAACUGACGCUGAGGCUCGAAAGUGUGGGUAUCAAACAGGAUUAGAUACCCGGGUAGUC